rnacentral:misc_RNA from 1 species
AAAGUCGUAACAAGGUUUCCGUAGGUGAACCUGCGGAAGGAUCAUUACCGAAUGGACCCUCGCAUUGCGCGUGGGUGGCUCAUUGGCUGGCGCCUCUUGAUCUUGAUCGUGGUGCUCUCAUCACUCUGGGGUGGGGGUUGCCCUUUCAAGAUUACACACAAACCUGUCAUCGUACGGUGUUGAACAUAUUUAACAUAUAAUACAACUUUCAACAACGGAUCUCUUGGCUCUC